rnacentral:rRNA from 1 species
AUUGAACGCUGGCGGCAGGCCUAACACAUGCAAGUCGAGCGAGCGGCGGACGGGUGAGUAAUGUAUGGGGAUCUGCCUGAUGGAGGGGGAUAACUACUGGAAACGGUAGCUAAUACCGCAUACCAUCAGAUGAACCCAUAUGGGAUUAGCUUGUAGGUGAGGUAACGGCUCACCUAGGCGACGCACCCUAGCUGGUCUGCGAGGAUGACCAGCCACACUGGGACGGAGACACGGCCCAGACGCCGACGGGAGGCAGCAGGGGGGAAGAGUGCUCAAUGGGGGCAACCCUGACGCAGCCAUGCCGCGGGAAGGAAGAAGGCCUUCGGGUUGUAAAGUUCUGUCGGUAGCGAGGCGUUAACUACAGAAGAAGCACCGGCUAACUCCGUGCCAGCAGCCGCGGUAAUUC